rnacentral:SRP_RNA from 13 species
CAUGCCCGACAGGGAGCGCGUCAAGGCGAGGAGCGCGCCGCCGCUGGCACCCCGGCCGAAGGACGCCGGAGUCAGGUCCUCAAAGGAGCUGGGAAUCGUGUCGGGCC